ACACUAUGGUGUUCCAGGUGGCGUUAGUUGUGAAACAAUUUCCAUAUUGUCUUAAAUUGUGUACCAAACUUACAACUCAGAUAUUCAUCUCUACGAUCAUAUCGUAGACAUUUCAUCCUCUUGUCACGACUAUCUUCAACUUCACUCUGAAAUUACUUGAACCUUUCAAUAAUUCAGAUUUGUACUUCAUCAAGUAAAUAUACUACUCCC
rnacentral:lncRNA from 1 species